UUCGACUGUUUUACCAAAAACAUAGCUUCAUCAUACUAAUAUGAGGUGCAACCUGCUCAAUGGUUGGUAAUAAAAUUAAAAAAUUAUAAUAACAAUUAAAUAGCCGCGGUAACUCUGACCGUGAUAAAGUAGCAUAAUCAUUUGUCACUUAAUUAGUGACUAGAAUGAAUGGUUAAACGAAUCUCUAACUGUCUCAACAAGAAAUUUGACAAAAUUAAAAUUAUAGUGAAGAUGCUAUAAAUAAAUUGCAAGACGAAAAGACCCUAUCGAGCUUUACUGAAUAUUUGUAAAAAUUAAUACCCUAUAAUAAUAUAAGUAAUUAAAUAAGCAAGUAAGACAGUUUGGUUGGGGCGACCACCUCUAAAACAGUAACAGAGGAGAUCUAAAGGUAAGAUUUAUGAAAACUAGCUUUACUGAAAUAACAAUGAUUUAAUCAGUUACUAACAAAGUAGGACAUAAUGACCCGUUAUAUUAUAUGUAAUAUAUAACGACUACAGAAUAAGUUACCGUAGGGAUAACAGGGUAAUAGUUUUCAAGAGUUCAUAUCGACGAAACUGUUUGCCACCUCGAUGUUGAAUUAUGAUAUCCUAAAGGUGUAGCAGCUUUUGAGGGUUGGUCUGUUCGACCAUAAAAAUCUUACAUGAUUUGAG
rnacentral:rRNA from 1 species